UCCUAGCCCUAAACGUUGAUCACUAGAUGUAGGAAGUAUUGACCCUUUCUGUGUCGAAGCUAACGUAUUAAGUGAUCCGCCUGGGGAGUACGAUCGCAAGGUUGAAACUCAAAGGAAUUGACGGGGGCCCGCACAGGCGGUGGAGCAUGUGGCUUAAUUCGACGAUACGCGAAGAACCUUACCUAGCCUUGACAUUGAAGAAACACACUAGAGAUAGAGUGGUGCCCUUCGGGGAAUCUGAAAACAGGUGCUGCACGGCUGUCGUCAGCUCGUGUCGUGAGAUGUUGGGUUAAGUCCCGCAACGAGCGCCAACCCUCGUCCUUAGUUGCCAGCAGGUUAAGCGUGGGCUACUUUAAGG
rnacentral:rRNA from 1 species